AACGAUUUGGUGUCAGAGUAUCAGCAGUACCAAGACGCAACGGCUGAUGAUGAAGAAGGGUAUGAGUAUGAAGAAGAUGAAGAGGAAGUGCUGGAGGAGCAAUGACGGUAAGAGAAGAAAAGACCUCGUGUAGCUCAUUGUCGUGUGUGUGAGUUUUUUUUAAUUAGUGUCUUUUUAUCUCUCAUGUUGAUUGGCUUGGUUUUUCUUUUAUGCGGGUUUGGUUUUCUUUUAUUGACAUUUGGAUAUGUGUGUUUAGAGCUUAGGAAAAUAUGUGUUUAUAUAAGUCUUUUCAAGUGACUGGAUUUGAGAUAUUGUUUGUUAUUUUUCCCCUAAAGGUUUUGUGGUAAUAUGAUUUCUCUUCUCGUGAUUCCCUCUGCGUGCAACACGGUGUUUUUAUCACAUUAUUAUCGCAUUUUCAACUUAAAUGGGAUACACGAUGCAACUCCUGUUAAGUAGAAGCCUUGUUAGUUGGUAUGGUCUCUGGCAGUGGCUGAUCUAGAAACAAAUUUCAUCUGGGGCAAAACUAAAAAUAUACUUACAAAAUUAACUUUUCAACAGGGGAAAUAUAAAAUAUUAGUAAAAAAUUACAUUAGCUAAAAAAAUCCAUGGUGGGCAAGUGCCCCACCCACUGACCACAUAGACUCGCCCCUGGUCUCUGCUAUGUUAAGGUCUGUUGGGUUAUGAAAUGACGACAGAGCUAUCAUCAUGUGUAGUUUCUCUCAAGAGUAUAUUAGUGAAUUGUUGCCUUGUUGGUGUAGAUGUUGAGACUUAGGAAUACUCAUUCCAAAAUCUUGAACUCAAAAUCUUGAGGUAAAAACUAUCUAAUUUCGACCGUAUAGUGUUCUUUUAGUUCGUCUAGAAGACUCAUGACUGCUUGUUAAUGUGGGUGAAAUCUUCUCUAUUAAAAGAGAAGUACCAUUUUUAUCUACUACAAAAUAGUCAUACUAGAAAUCUAGGUCCAUAUAUCCAAAUAAUUUUUUUAUUGUUUACAUUAGUUUAUUUAAUGUAUAACAUUUCUAAAUAAUUAUAAAGAUAUUAAUAACAAAUCCAUUUUAACUAUAAAUUUAAAUUUUAGUUAUAGGAAUAACAAAAUCUGUUGAGAAAAAAUCUAACAAAAUCUUUUUAAAAAUUUAAAUAUUCUUUUAAUUAAUACACUGAUUAAUUUCGCAAUUAGUAGUAUAAUAUUAUUAUAAAUUAAUUUUAAUUAAAUUUUUAUUAUUAACAAAAUAAUGAAUUUUUUUGCUAAUUUUAUAAAUUUCGGUGGUUCGUAUCACAAUCAUUUAACUUUCCUUUUUCUUAUCAUUUCCUUUUUCCUUUAACCCUUAGACUCUUUCUUACUUUCCUUUUUAGACGCCACCCGUUCUCGGUGUCCCACUCAAUCCAUUUAACAAUCAUUCAUUGAUAUCCUAUCAUUCAUCUAACCAGACCGGUUAACAGUUCUCUUAUUACCCUACGUUUAAUUCCUUCUAAGCAUCCUAGCUUUCAACCACAAUCAAGAAUAGUUCAUCAACCAAUCACUCAUUCAUCAUUCAAUCAACACAAACAAUCCAUUUACUGUCCUUAAAAAAAACUAGGCCUGGGCAUUAUAUCCGUAACCCGAUAUUCGAACCGAAAAACCCGAUCUGUAUCCGGUCCGAAAUGUAAAAAAUAUCCGAAUGGAUCUUGUAAGGUGGUACAAAACAUAUCCGAAUCCGAAGUGCUAUGCCCCGAGCCUGAAAAGAUAACCUGAAAAACCGAAAAAACUGAAAAGAUAUCCGAAGAAACUGAUCCGAAUGUCCAAAAUAAUAUACAAUAUAAUUAUAUGAAACAUGAAUAUAUACUUCAAAUAUUCAAUUUCAUAUUUAUUUUGAUAUGUUAUCUAACAAUAAGUAUUUAAAAUAUAAAUAACUAACUUAAAUACUUAAUUAUAUAUAAAUAAAUAUAUAUUUCUUAUGUUUUACUUUUAAAUUUUAGAUUUUAUUUCAGGUAUAUCCAAACCGAUCCAAUAUAACCCAAAUCCGAAUGAUAUAUGAUUGUUUUAUGGGUUCUAUGAUGUAAUACAAACCCGACUCGAACCCGAUGUGUUAUAUCCGAACCGACCCGUACUUCAAAAAUUACUAGAAUGAGACCUAGGAGGUCUUAUAAAAAAGAACUCAAAUCUGAAAAACCCGACCAAAUGCCAACGGAUACCCGACCGCUCAUGCCUAUUUCAAGCAGCUUCACUACUCAAUCUCAGGAGUUCUUUGUGACCAAAAGGUCUACUCAAUCUCAGGAGUUCUUUGUGACCAAAAGGUCUACUCAAUCUCAGGAGUUCUUUGUGACCAAAAGGUCGAGAAAAGGUCUAAUGUGCUAUUAAAUAAAAUAAAAUUGUUAAUUACACAAAGUAUUUUAAAAUUAGGGUAUUUAAUGGAUAGUAAGUAAACCUAAAUGUAUGUCUAGUUAACUGUUUAUUCAAUAUUUUUUGGUCCCAAACCUAUAAGGUUUGUUAUCGUGACUCCCAAACCUACAGGGUAUGUUAAUUGUUAAAUUAAAACCCUCGAUGUGUGUAUGUGUUGCACUAUUAAAACUUGACGGUCACAUACUUACCUCACAAGAUUCUCUCUCUUUUUCUCUUCUUUUGUCCUCUCUUUCUCUUUCCUAAACUCGUUUAGAAUCUUCUACUCGAUUCUCACCAUCUUCUUUUUUCUGGUUUCUCCGUCGGUGAAGAGUAUAACAACAGCAGCCCACCGAUGAGGAACUCACCGUCCAAGAACGAGCCAGGAAGUGGGCAUUCUCGCAAUUUCACAAACUGGUCUCCCUUUGUCAAGUCCUCCUCCGGUUUUGGAAUAUCUCCCAACAGAUCCUACGCCCUCCUCUCCUUACUCACCCUACUCAUCGUCGGCGCGUUCAUCUCCACGCGCAUCCUCCUAGACCCCACCGUAAGUUCCAAAACGAUACUCCCAACUUUUCUUGCUGAAUUUGGUAGAAUUAUGGAAAGCAUAUAUCUCGCAUCAUGUAUUUGACCCUUGGUUUAUUGCAUUAUUUCCUUGUAUAAAGAUCCAGCUCCUCUCUGUGUAUAAACAAAGCAUAUAACAUAAAUAGAAGUUAUCGAAAUUUACAUAAAAACUCAAUAUAAUAUCUCAGACUAUAGUUAUGUGAUAAUGGAUCGAUCUUUAAUUAACUUUGUUAAUACUUUGAAUUUUGUUCCGUCACGUGAGGAUUUUCAAUUGUGUUAGAAAGAAAGAGUCUUGGUGGUGGUGAUGUCGGCUCUCUGACAAAUCCCGCAGAAACUGACACGUGCAUAUUUUGGGACCUACCUAUGACUUUUUCGAGUUAACUAGUUGUAACCCACUUACGAGUUACGACUAACACAUGUCAUCACCGUUUUUUCAAACUUAAUAGGUUCUGCUAGAGAAAGAGGCCGUCACGACAAAGACUAGAUCACAUACGAUAUUCCCAAAAUACCCUCCUCCGACUCCAGUAACUACACAAAGCCCUAAACCGGAGUUCACACUACACUGCUCCGCCAACGACACCAAUGCAACGUGUCCAAGAAACAGCUACCCGGCCACGGCGAGCUUCGGAGAAGAUGCUCCGACCGCCACGUGUCCGGAUUACUUCCGCUGGAUCCACGAGGAUCUCCGUCCCUGGGCGAAGACGGGGAUCACGAGGGAGGCACUGGAGCGGGCCAAGAAGACGGCGAAUUUCCGGCUAGCGAUCGUCGGCGGGAGAGUCUACGUGGAGAAGUUUCAGGAUGCGUUUCAGACGAGAGACGUGUUCACCAUCUGGGGAUUCUUGCAGCUUCUAAGGAAGUACCCUGGGAAGAUUCCUGAUCUCGAGCUCAUGUUUGACUGCGUUGACUGGCCGGUCGUUAGAGCUUUGGAUUUCGCCGGAGUCGACGCGCCGUCGCCUCCGCCGCUGUUUCGGUACUGCGGAAACGAGGAGACGCUCGAUAUAGUGUUUCCUGAUUGGUCCUUCUGGGGGUGGUAAGACCAUCUCCAAUGGUUCACUCUAUUUUUUAAUCUAAAAUAGAGUGACUCUAUAAUAGAGUUGUGAUAUAUUCCAAUGGUACUCUAUUUUAGAGUGAAAAAUAGAGUGAUGAACAAACAAAAAACAACUUACUCUAUAUAUAGAGUAAACCCAUUUUUUACUCUAUUAUAGAGUGGAAAAUAGAGUACCAUUGGAGCAUUUUUACUCUAAACUCUAUUUUAGAGUGAAAAAUAGAGUGGGGUUGGAGAUGCCCUAAUGAGAACUUUCUUUUAUUGUUUUAGUGCAACCCGUGAUUUACCAAGUUCUCUCAAUUACACCAUAGUAGUUUCGAAUAGAUCAGAGAAACCCACUAAAGUUUUUUUGACAUGGUUGAUUUUUGUAGGUCGGAAGUGAAUAUAAAGCCAUGGGAGAGUUUGUUGAAGGAACUAAGAGAAGGGAACGAGAGGAGCACUUGGAUAAACAGAGAGCCUUAUGCUUAUUGGAAAGGGAAUCCAUCUGUGGCCGAGACAAGACAAGAUCUUAUGAAGUGUAAUGUCUCCGAGGAACACGAGUGGAACGCUCGUGUAUACGCUCAGGUAGUAAUGAUAUGGCCUUUUUGAGAAAAUACCAAAAAACUCUGAUUCUGCUGGUUACAACUGCAAUCUUGAUUUAUGUGUGUGUUUUUUGUUUUGUUUUGAUCUUGGUAGGAUUGGAUCCGAGAAUCAAAGGAAGGCUACAAGCAAUCAGACUUGGCGAGUCAAUGCCAUCACAGGUAGAGUAUAUUUUGUAGAAUUUAAAUAUAUAUUCAAAGAUUUUGGGAUUUUAAAUCAUCCCUAAACAUGAAAGUUGACAUAAGGAAUUAGUAACGGUAUGGGUCUAAUGCAAUGUUUAUCUGUAGAUAUAAGAUAUACAUAGAAGGGUCUGCAUGGUCCGUUAGCGAGAAGUACAUUUUAGCAUGUGACUCGGUGACUCUGCUGGUGAAACCCCAUUACUAUGAUUUCUUCACUCGAGGCCUGCUUCCGGCUCACCAUUAUUGGCCCGUUAGGGAGCACGACAAGUGCCGCUCCAUCAAGUUUGCUGUUCAUUGGGGCAACUCUCACAUUCAAAAGGUACAAUUAUUAACCCAUUGAACAAUUGUUUGAACUGAUAAUAGAGUCUAGAUUCUCAAGUUAUAUAUCUACCGGCUAUAUUUUCUUAUAACCAGGCGCAGGAUAUUGGAAAGACAGCGAGCGAGUUCAUUCAGCAAGAACUCAAGAUGGACUACGUGUAUGAUUACAUGUACCACCUUUUAACUGGAUACGCGAAACUCCUCCAGUUUAAACCGGAGAUCCCCCAGAAUGCCAUGGAGAUAUGUUCGGAAACAAUGGCGUGUCCAAGGAGCGGGAACGAGCGUAAGUUUAUGACGGAGUCACUAGUGAAGCACCCUGCAGAGACCGGUCCGUGUGCCAUGCCACCUCCGUACGACCCGGCGUCGUUUUACGCGGUUGAGAAGAGGAAACAAAGUACAACUAAGAGAAUACUACAGUGGGAGAUGAAGUACUGGAACAAGCAGAAUCAAACCGGCUCUUGAAUUUUUUUUAGCUUCGUUUCUUUUUUUUGUUGUAUAGAGAAAUAACAUAUAUAUAAUCCGGUUUAUUGUUGUUAUAGGUUGCCACGUUACAUGUUUCGAGUUUAGGCUAUUUCAUACGGAAUCAGAACGAAAAAAACUUCACACAGUUAUUGCGACAAAGAAUAUCCAUUAUCUAGGCUCGAUUUCGUGAUUAGUAUUCUUCGUUUCUUUCCUUCUAAUAAUAGUCUAUAACUCUAUACGCUAAAUGACAAAAGUUAUCUUGAAGUUAUGUUAGAGUGCGCAACUCGCCGGCCUAGGAAGUUACUUUGAAAUUAGUUUAAAUUUGGUAAACCAGGACUAUCAGCAGAAGAAAAAUACUAAUAAGCGCAGAGUUAUCAGAUUGUGUUGGUUAUGAAAUUGAUGGUGUAACUUGAUGGCUACUAUUCACUCACAAGACACAAGUUGCUCUAACUUUGAGAACGAUACAUUGCUUCUGAUUGAGGUCAUAAUCAUUAAAAAAGCUGUCUUUGCUGUGUCUCUAAUUUUCACGUCAUGUAUGUAGGACCCGAGUACACCUUUUGGACUUGUCUAAUUGAUUAUAGAGUGAUUUGCACGUUACUAUUCAGAUUAGACAGUCUGCAUCGCACUACAAUACUGUAUUGAUUAUAAUAUAUAGAAAGAUUAAGCAAUCGAAUGUAUUCACACAAAACUAAAUGAUAACUUUUAUAUAAAAUGGUAAUUACAGACUGAACAACAAAACUAUCAGUUUUUUUUCUUUCAAAACUAUCAGUUUCAUUCGACUCUAUCGGAAAUUUACGUGCACAUGUGCAUCUUUAGUUAUUUGUUUUCAUCUCUUUCUUAAUCAUUGUUUUGCCAUUUACUAAUACACACUUCUCGUUCGAAUAUUUACUCAUUUCAUUUCUCUAACUACGUUUUACCAUUUUUGUGCAUGAUGCAUUACGUGUUUACCGUCUAAGAAUUCAUAACCGUACCAAACCGAAAAGUACUAGCCUCAUUGCUUAUCAGACCCUGUCGAUUUUUAGUUUCGGGAUUAGCAUAAUUGCUAAUCAGAAUAAAAUGUAUAACAGUAAUCCCAAUCACGUGCUUUAACGUUGGUAUCAUGUGUCUAUCACGGUUCGCUUCAUGUGCAAGAAUAUAAAAAAGUGAGAAAAAAUAAAGAAAUUAUUCAGAUCUCGCAGCCUUUCAGUCUCCGCACCUGAGCCAGUCUGGAUCCAUCUGUACAACCCCCUCCAUGUUUUUUAUUCUUGUGCUAUGGCCAGUGGAGUUAAUGCAGAAAAUGAAGAAUCACAAAUUAUAACUUAUCCUCUAUUAAUCUUAGUUAGAAAAAUGAAUAUGCUAAUAACAUAUGUAAAUUUUUAUCAUAGAUCAAAUUUCAGUUCCAAUAAAAUUUGUAAAAUAAAACUGAUUUUACCUCAAUGAAUUGUGUUUAUGGAUUUACCUACAAAAAUAGUGUUUCUCUAUUUGCGACAGGUUCUUUUGCAAAAGAAUUAACUUAUUGUCCACAUAAUGACAGGAAAAUAUACAGAGUUUCCUGCUCUGGAAACAAAAUAUCAACAAUUAUUUGCUCAGUGGGUACCAAUCUUUAUUUGUAAAUGCCAACUUGAAGAUAGAGUGUUUAAAUAUUUAUGUAUGUCAUGGGCCAACGAGCCUAACAGCCGUUACUUACCUCCGUCAUUCGUGGCGCCAAUAAAGUCGAAUACCAACAUUACCGGUUUGAAUCCAUCGUGGACUGUGUGCGACUUUGGUUUAGCAUCGGUUUCGGUUAGGUUAAGUUGGUUCAAAUUAUUUUUAACACAUAAUCAGAAAAAGUAAAUUCACCACACAAAAUUGAAGUAAAUAAAUCAUCAAGGUAAGGGAUUGUAAUUGAGAAAAUGAAAAAAAGCAAAGUGGUGUGCAAGUUAAAUCGUCGGUUUGGUUCAGCUUGGUAUGCUUUACAUAAACCGAUUCAGUUUGAACCGGCGAGUCUCCUAGUCUCCGUUAUCUCCGCACUAUAAAAACCAACCGCUUCGUCUUCUUCAUUUCCUCCCAAGUAGUAACCGUUCAAAAUCUCUGUUCUCUCUCUCUAUAGAUUCUAGUGCUAGUCAUCGAAGAUGCGAGAGAUUCUUCACAUUCAAGGUGGACAGUGCGGGAACCAGAUCGGCGCUAAGUUCUGGGAAGUAGUGUGCGCCGAGCACGGCAUCGACUCGACGGGAAGGUACCAAGGUGAAAGCGAUUUGCAGCUCGAACGAGUCAAUGUCUACUACAACGAAGCUAGUUGCGGGAGGUUUGUCCCACGCGCCGUCUUGAUGGAUCUUGAGCCGGGGACUAUGGACAGUGUCAGAUCGGGUCCCUACGGGCAGAUCUUCCGCCCUGAUAACUUCGUCUUCGGUCAGUCCGGCGCCGGUAACAACUGGGCCAAAGGACACUACACUGAAGGUGCUGAGCUCAUAGAUUCGGUUCUGGACGUCGUCCGCAAAGAGGCCGAGAACUGUGACUGCUUGCAAGGUUAGUUUCGGUUCUCUAUUGAAAUCUUUAUUAAAUCGUCUAUAGCCCCCAAAAUCUCAGGGCGGGUUAAGAUUCGUGUGUGUUGAUGCGAAUGAUCUUUUUUUUUCAGGAUUCCAAGUGUGUCACUCGUUGGGAGGAGGAACUGGAUCUGGGAUGGGGACUUUGCUUAUCUCGAAGAUCAGGGAAGAGUAUCCAGACAGGAUGAUGUUGACGUUCUCUGUGUUCCCGUCACCUAAAGUGUCUGACACUGUUGUUGAGCCUUAUAAUGCAACUCUCUCUGUCCAUCAGCUUGUGGAGAAUGCAGAUGAGUGUAUGGUUCUUGACAACGAAGCUCUCUAUGACAUUUGCUUCAGGACUCUUAAGCUCACCACUCCUAGCUGUAAGCCUCUCUUCUUUGUAUAUCAAAUUGCUGAAUGUUAUUCAAAAUUUUAUUUAUUGAAAAUUAUAAAUUUUAUACAAUUUUUUUCAUAAAAACAUUUGUUUUUAAAAUAUAAAUAAAUUAAUCUAAAAUUAAUAUAAAUAUAAAUAUAAUAUAUAUGAUAAAAUAAUUCAUUUAUAUACCAGUCUAGUAUUAAUUUUACUUAUAUUUAAAGCUUAAGAAUUAGAACAUGAUUUUUUUAACCUUUUUAUAAUAGUCAAAAUUUAUAUUAAUGUUUUAAUUUUAUAAUAUAAAUCAAAUGUCACCACUCCUUGCGGUAAUAUUCCAGCUACUUGAUGUUGAUUGUAAUAGAAAUUGAAUGGUUUGCAUGAUUGAACUAUGCUUUUAUCUGCUUAGAGUAGAAAUUGCAUUUACAAAUCAAAUGUCACCACUCGAUGAUUUGUAAGCUCAACUUUUUGUAACAUCUCACGCACUUACACCUUGUCCUGUUGCUGGCAUCACUGUUCUAAUGGGCUAGUUUGUUUGUGUUCUGUUCAGUUGGAGACUUGAACCAUCUCAUCUCUGCCACCAUGAGUGGCGUCACUUGCUGCCUCCGUUUCCCUGGACAGCUAAACUCUGACCUGCGCAAGCUUGCAGUGAACUUGAUUCCAUUCCCUCGUCUCCACUUCUUCAUGGUGGGAUUCGCACCUCUCACAUCUCGCGGAUCGCAGCAGUACCGAGCCUUAACCGUCCCUGAGCUCACCCAACAGAUGUGGGAUGCUAAGAACAUGAUGUGCGCAGCUGACCCGCGCCACGGCAGGUACUUGACAGCAUCAGCCAUGUUCAGAGGCACAAUGAGCACCAAAGAAGUGGGCGAGCAGAUGAUCAACGUUCAGAACAAGAACUCAUCCUACUUCGUCGAGUGGAUCCCCAACAAUGUGAAAUCAACCGUCUGUGACAUUCCACCAACGGGUCUGAAAAUGGCUUCUACUUUCAUCGGCAACUCGACUUCGAUCCAAGAGAUGUUCAGGCGUGUGAGCGAGCAGUUCACUGCCAUGUUCAGGAGGAAAGCUUUCUUGCAUUGGUACACGGGUGAAGGAAUGGACGAGAUGGAGUUCACGGAGGCAGAGAGCAACAUGAACGAUUUGGUGUCAGAGUAUCAGCAGUACCAAGACGCAACGGCUGAUGAUGAAGAAGGGUAUGAGUAUGAAGAAGAUGAAGAGGAAGUGCUGGAGGAGCAAUGACGGUAAGAGAAGAAAAGACCUCGUGUAGCUCAUUGUCGUGUGUGUGAGUUUUUUUUAAUUAGUGUCUUUUUAUCUCUCAUGUUGAUUGGCUUGGUUUUUCUUUUAUGCGGGUUUGGUUUUCUUUUAUUGACAUUUGGA
rnacentral:lncRNA from 1 species